GACAGUUCGGUCCUCUAUCCGCUGUGGGCGUUGGAGAUUUGAGGGGUUCAUUCCUUAGUACGAGAGGACCGGGAAUGACGUGCCUCUGGUGUUCCGGUUGUCGUGUCAACGGCACCGCCGGGUAGCUAAGCACGGACUAGAUAAGCGCUGAAAGCAUCUAAGCGCCAAGCUAUUCCCAAGAUAAGAUCUCCUUUGGUCUUCGGACCAUGAAGGAACCUGGAAGACUACCAGGUCGAUAGGUCGGAUGUGUAAGUGCAGCAAUGCGUUAAGCUAACCGAUACUAAUGAUCCGA
rnacentral:rRNA from 1 species